rnacentral:rRNA from 1 species
GGAUGCGAUCAUACCAGCACUAAUACACCGAAUCCCCUCAGAACUCCGCAGUCAAGCGUGCUUGGGCGAGAGUAGUAAUACGAUGGGUGACCUCCCGGGAAAUCCUCGUAUUGCAUCCC